rnacentral:rRNA from 1 species
AGUGAUUUUUUUUUAAAUGGCCGCAGUACCUUGACUGUGCUAAGGUAGCAUAAUCAAUUGGCUUCUAAUUAAAGUCUGGAAUGAAAGGAAAUAUGAAGUAAUUCUAUCUUAAAGGAUUUUUUUUGAAUUUAUUUAAAUGAUGAAAAUAUCAUUUUAUAGAAAAAAGACGAGAAGACCCUUAGAGUUUUGAUAUUUAUAUAUUUUUGUUGGGGCGACAGGUAAACAUAUAACUUUACGAAUUAUCAUAUUGAUCGAUUUUUUAUAAGAAUAAUAAAACUACCUUAGGGAUAACAGCAUUAUAUUUUUUUAUGAUUGUGACCUCGAUGUUGGACUAGGAACUUUAUGGCUAGCCGUCAAAAAAGAUUUGUUCUGUUCGAACAAUUUUAUCCUACAUGAUCUGAG